CUCUACUUCAAAAUUUUACUUAAAGUGAACAGACUCACGAAUCGUAGACAUGUAGCAGAGUUUUACAAACGUCUUUACCACCUUAAUAAA